GGCCUCCCAGUGCUUACCACAGGCUGUGUUCUUAUACUGACUAUAUAGAAAGAGGAGGCAAAAUAAACCUACCCCAUAUACAUACCUCAGCCCAGGUCCUGUGCCUGGUCUGUAUUGUAAAAGGGGACACUUGG
rnacentral:snoRNA from 1 species